CCCCGGGACAAGCCCCCGCCUGGCCCCCAUGCCCCGGGGGACUCGUGACGUGGAGCCCCCAGCUCAGACGGACACACCUGCCAGCGGCCGGGAGGGAUUGGGGGGGGGGCCAUACUGGGCCCCCCCACCCCACCCUGGGGCCCCCCCAACCCCCCUCGGACUGGGGGGGGGGGCUCCCCCCCCCUUCCUCCCUUACCCCCCUAUUCCCCCCCUGCGAUGUAAUUAUUUGAGUUGAUUUCUUUUGUAUCCUUAAGCCCCGGGGGGGGCCACACACACAGAUGGGGGUCCGGGGGUCCCCCCCCCCCAAACCGGGGGGGACCCCAACCAGCACAGCAGGGCCAGCCCCCCCCCUCCUCGCACCGGGUUUUUUAUAGGGUUGGGGGGGGGGUGGGGGGAGAGGGGGGGGGGGGCGGAUUUGGGGCCCCCCUGCCCCCCCCCCGCCGACACUAACAGUCUUGGGCUCUUUGUAGCGGGACGGGGACGGGGGGCCUUAUUUUAUUGUAUUAUGAUUUUUUUUAUUAUUAUUAAACUUUGGAGGC